rnacentral:rRNA from 1 species
AGUUCGGUCCCUAUCUGCCGUGGGCGCUGGAGAAUUGAGGGGGGCUGCUCCUAGUACGAGAGGACCGGAGUGGACGCAUCACUGGUGUUCGGGUUGUCAUGCCAAUGGCACUGCCCGGUAGCUAAAUGCGGAAGAGAUAAGUGCUGAAAGCAUCUAAGCACGAAACUUGCCCCGAGAUGAGUUCUCCCUGAGACUUUAAGUCUCCUGAAGGAACGUUGAAGACGACGACGUUGAUAGGCCGGGUGUGUAAGCGCAGCGAUGCGUUGAGCUAACCGGUACUAAUGAACCGUGAGGCUUAACCU